UUCAUGAAGCUGGAAUUGCUAGUAAUGGCAGGUCAGCAUACUGCCGUGAAUACGUUCCCGGGCCUUGUACACACCGCCCGUCACACCAUGAGAGUUGGGAAUACCCGAAGCCUGUGAGCUAACUUUUAGAGGCAGCAGUCGAAGGUAGAAUCAAUGAUUGGGGUGAAGUCGUAACAAGGUACC
rnacentral:rRNA from 1 species